CCUACGGGAGGCAGCAGUGGGGAAUAUUGCGCAAUGGGCGAAAGCCUGACGCAGCGACGCCGCGUGAGGGAUGAAGGUCUUCGGAUCGUUAACCUCUGUCUGCAGGGAAGAACGGUCACUGUGCUAAUCAGCAGUGAAUUGACGGUACCUGAAAAGGAAGCACAGGCUAACUCCGUGCCAGCAGCCGCGGUAAUAAGGAGGGUGCGAGCGUUAAUCGGAAUUACUGGGCGUAAAGCGCUCGUGGGCGGGAUGUCAAGUCAAGGGUGAAAUCCCCGCGCUCAACGUGGGCACUGCCUUUGAAACUGGCAAACUGGAGUGUGUGAGAGGAAAGUGGAAUUCCAGGUGUAGGAGUGAAAUCCGUAGAUAUCUGGAGGAACAUCAGUGGCGAAGGCGACUAUCUGGCACAUAACUGACGCUGAGGAGCGAAAGCGUGGGUAGCAAACAGGAUUAGAUACCCUAGUAGUC
rnacentral:rRNA from 1 species